ACGUACACUCCUACGGGAGGCAGCAGUGGGGAAUAUUGCACAAUGGGCGCAAGCCUGAUGCAGCCAUGCCGCGUGUAUGAAGAAGGCCUUCGGGUUGUAAAGUACUUUCAGCGGGGAGGAAGGCAAUACGGUUAAUAACCGUGUUGAUUGACGUUACCCGCAGAAGAAGCACCGGCUAACUCCGUGCCAGCAGCCGCGGUAAUACGGAGGGUGCAAGCGUUAAUCGGAAUUACUGGGCGUAAAGCGCACGCAGGCGGUCUGUCAAGUCGGAUGUGAAAUCCCCGGGCUCAACCUGGGAACUGCAUUCGAAACUGGCAGGCUUGAGUCUUGUAGAGGGGGGUAGAAUUCCAGGUGUAGCGGUGAAAUGCGUAGAGAUCUGGAGGAAUACCGGUGGCGAAGGCGGCCCCCUGGACAAAGACUGACGCUCAGGUGCGAAAGCGUGGGGAGCAAACAGGAUUAGAAACCCCUGUAGUCCCA
rnacentral:rRNA from 1 species